ACAAGUUAGUGGUGUGUUUGUA
rnacentral:siRNA from 1 species